UACGUAGGGUCCGAGCGUUGUCCGGAGUUACUGGGCGUAAAGCGCGUGUAGGUGGCGAGAUAAGUCGGGUGUGAAAUCCCUUGGCUUAACCAAGGAAGUGCAUUCGAUACUGUUUCGCUUGAGUAUCGGAGGGGUCGGCGGAAUUCCCGGUGUAGAGGUGAAAUUCGUAGAUAUCGGGAGGAACACCUGUGGCGAAGGCGGCCGACUGGACGAUCACUGACACUGAGACGCGAAAGCGUGGGUAGCAAACAGG
rnacentral:rRNA from 1 species